rnacentral:rRNA from 1 species
UUCCUUUAGUAAUGGCGAAUGAACAAGGAUAUGCUCAGUUUGGAAAUCGGGGUCAGUGGCCUUGAAUUGUAGUCUGCAGAUGGUUUGCCAAUGUGGAUGCUGAUGCAAGCCUCUUGGAAAAGAGCAUGCGAGAGGGUGAGAGUCCUGUCUGGCAUCUGCCUUCCGCAUGUACGGCAAGCACUCUACGAGUCACGUUCCUCGGGCCUGGAGCGCAAACUGGGUGGUAAUUUCCAUCUUAAGCUAAAUAUAUGUUCAAGACCGAUAGAAAACAAGUACCAUGAGGGAAAGGUGAAAAGGACUUUGAAAAGAGUGUUAAAAGUGUCUGAAAUUGCUGAGGUGAAAGCGAAUGGAACUAAUGCUGUUGGGUGAGAUUGCUGUGCGCACUUGCAUUUGCCUCCUACCGCAACGCAAGUGCUGUAGUAGAUUUUGUGCUCGUGUGUGCGGUGCUACUCCCUGCGCAUGUUGCUGUCAGUCUGCCGCUGUGAAAAAUGCCUGGUGCAUGGUGGGUUGCCCUUUGUGACUGAAUGCUCUUGGCUGAACACAGCUGCUUGCUGAUCUUCCUGCAUCUUGCUGCAAUGGUCUGCGGUGCAGUUGUAUACUGGGAGGGCUCAAUCCUCCUGCGGGCACUGCAUCUGCGGGCCAUAUUCUUGAUGCAACAACAGCAACAAAGUGGACCUAUUCGACCCGUCUUGAAACACGGACCAAGGAGUCUAACAUGUAUGCAAGCUCUUUGGUGAGAAACCUGUGAGCACAAUGAAAGUAUUUGCUGGGAUAUCUGCACCAGCAGUGGACCAAUUGAUUGGAAGAGGUUUGAGUACAAGCAUAUCUGUUAGGACCCGAAAGAUGGUGAACUAUGCUUGAGAAGGGCAAACUCAGGGGAAACUCUGAUGGAGGCUCGUAGCGGUACUGACGUGCAAAUCGUUCGUCAUACUUGGGUAUAGGGGCGAAAGACUAAUCGAACCAUCUAGUAGCUGGUUCCCUCCGAAGUUUCCCUCAGGAUAGCUGGAGUUGGUCAGUUUUAUCAGGUAAAGCGAAUGUUUAGAGGAAUCGGGGACGCGUUGCCCUCGACCUAUUUUCAAACUUUAAAUGGGUAAGAUCUAGUGGUUGCUUGUGUGAUCUUCUGGGAUAAAUGGCAUUUCUAAGUGGGCCAUUUUUGGUAAGCAGAACUGGCGAUGAGGGAUGAACCUAACAUUGGGUUAAGGUGCUUAACUGCUCGCUCAUCAGAUACCAUAAAGGGUGCUGGUGCAUUUUAACAGCAGGACGGUGGUCAUGGAAGUCGAAAUCCGCUAAGGAGU